rnacentral:rRNA from 1 species
GACGAACGCUGGCGGCGUGCUUAACACAUGCAAGUCGAACGGAAAGGCCCUGCUUUUGUGGGGUGCUUGAGUGGCGCACGGGUGAGUAACACGUGUGUAACCUGCCCUUGACUUUGUGAUAUCUUCAGGAAACUGGGGCUCAUACCCGAUAGGAGCUCCUGCUGCAUGGUGGGGGUUGGAAAGUUUCGGCGGUUGGGGAUGGACUCGCGGCUUAUCCGCUUGUUGGUGGGGUAGUGGCUUACCAAGCCUUUGACGGAUAGCCGGCCUGGGAGGUUGACCGGCCACAUUGGGACUAAGGGACGGCCCAGACGCCUACGGGAGGCAGCAGGGGGGAAUAUUGCGCAGUGGGCGGAAGCCUGAUGCGGCGACGUCGCGUGCGGAAUGACGGCCUUCGAGUGAUAAACAGCUUUCGCCUGUACCGAGGAGUGAGUGACGGUAAUGAGUAAGGAAGCACCGGCUAACUACGUG